rnacentral:rRNA from 1 species
CGUAGGGUGCGAGCGUUAAUCGGAAUUACUGGGCGUAAAGCGUGCGCAGGCGGUUUUGUAAGCCAGAUGUGAAAUCCCCGGGCUUAACCUGGGAAUGGCAUUUGGGACUGCAAGGCUUGAGUGCGGCAGAGGAGACUGGAAUUCCUGGUGUAGCAGUGAAAUGCGUAGAUAUCAGGAGGAAUACCGAUGGCGAAGGCAGGUCUCUGGGCUAACACUGACGCACAUGCACGAAAGCGUGGGGAGCAAACAGGAUUAGAUACCCUGGUAGUCCACGCCCUAAACGAUGUCGACUGGUUGUUGGGGGUUUGACACUCUCAGUAACGAAGCUAACGCGUGAAGUCGACCGCCUGGGGAGUACGGCCGCAAGGUUA